rnacentral:lncRNA from 1 species
AAAUACACGACAUCAAAAAAGUAUACUUUCCAUCGCUGCAAAUUAAGGGGUUAUGUUUGUAUAUGCAAUGCAAUUUCUCUUUUUUUUUUGAUCAACCAAAUACUUAGAUUAACGAGAGGGUUUUUAAACAACAGAGGAUGGCUUACUGAUUAAAUGGGCCGCUAAACAACAUUUUGCGAGCCCAUCAGCAAGACCAUUUUGAGAACGGGGAAUGUAAAGGAAACGACAAGACUGAAAAGCUGAAGACGGUGAGAAGGCUAAAUCGUGGAUAUCGGCGAGAACCCCGAAGAGUUCCGAUGAUCGUCGGCGUGCGGAGAUCGUGUUAACGAGUACUUGAGAGUCUGAUUUGACACAGAUAUGGUGGUAAUUGAGAGACGCUGCUUGGAGAAGGGCUUCUCGGAUCGCUAAGGCUUCGGCCAUGCACGGUGAGGAGACGAAAUCUUGAGCACUUGAUCCUCUUUGGAGCUCCUGCGAAGAGGGAUCAGUGAAGAUCCAGGCCAGACCCGCCGAUCUGAUCCCUCCCUUCCAUGAGGCGUCCGUAUUGCAGAUGAUUUCCCUUGAGGUUUCUACUGGCUCUUGGUUCUGGUAUGAGCUCUUAGGAGUUGAUUCCUUCUUCAGCGGUUGCGCUAAUUCCCAUUCUUUGAGGGAUCCUAUGGCUUUUGCGAAGACUUCUCCCGCUGUUUGUCGGCGAUUCUCAAAGAGGAGGAGAUUUCGCGAGAUCCAUAAGGUCCAGCAGAUCCAUGGGAGGGCAUUUCCAGUAAAACCAUAUGGAGGCAGGGGAACUUGUAGCAUAGCGUAUUGUACCUUGUCGAAGAAAGAGGUCUGUUGAGAAGUGUCCAAAGUGUGUUCCCACGGUCCCAGAUUCCAUACUUCCAUUGCAAAGGGGCAUUGGAAGAGGAUAUGCGAGACAGUUUCUAACUCUCCGCAGCGGUGGCACAUUGUAUUUGUAAGCAAACCUCUUGUGUACAAAUUUGCUCCUGUCGGGAGAGCGUUGUUUCCCACCGCUUCAACUUUGGUGACAAGGGUGGGCUCCAAAUAAGUUUAUUUCAUGGGUGAACCUCCCUAGCCAAGAGUAUGCUAGUCGAUUAGUUUUUUGUAGCUUGUAUUGCGUUGUAUCCCGUUUUGACAGUGUAAAUACCUGAUUUUUGCAGGGGCCAGAUGAAAGUGUCUGGUGACCCCAGGAUGCUGGGUCGCAGAGUUAGUAUGUGGUCUUUAAGUUCAGGUAGGAGGUUUUCCACUUUUGCUUCGUUCCAUUCUCUUGUUUCUCUAGUAAGUAAAUCUGAAACCAUGAGAUCUCUGUCUUGCAGGGACAUAGGACCGAAAGGCUUUAUGUUCUCAUCAGGUUUAAUCCACGAAUCAUUCCAAACCGAGGUUGAUUCCCCAUCUCCAAUGGCUUUUCCUAGGUGGCUUAGUAGUAGAUUCCUACCUAGUAGGAUUCCUCUCCAGCCAUGUGAGACAUUACUAGCCGCUUGUACCUUUAGAAAAGAGACUUUGUUGCAAUACUUGCUUAGGAGAAUUUUCGCUAGCAGGGAAUCCGGAAAAGUACUUGAAAUUGUGUAUAGAAAAAGAUUUUUAACAUUUUUCGGAAAUUUAUAUAAAUAUAAAACUAAGAUUUAUAAAUGACCUAUUGACUAUAUGUCUGGGCCAAGGCCACAUAUGGAACCAGACUGUAAAAGAACAGUAUGAACACUAAAGAAUAAGGCUACGACAUUAUGAAUUUAUGAUCGA